rnacentral:rRNA from 1 species
CAGAGGUCCCAAGCGUUGUUCGGAUUCACUGGGCGUAAAGGGUGCGUAGGUGGCUAGGUAAGUUCGAUGUGAAAUCUCCGAGCUUAACUCGGAAAGUGCAUUGAAUACUAUCUAGCUUGAGGGUUGAGGGGGGACUGGAAUUCUCGGUGUAGCAGUGAAAUGCGUAGAUAUCGAGAGGAACACCAGUGGCGAAGGCGAGUCCCUGGACAACUCCUGACACUGAGGCACGAAAGCUAGGGGAGCAAACAGGAUUAGAUACCCUGGUAGUCCUAGCUGUAAACGGUGCACAUUUGCUGUAAGAGGAAUCGACCCCUUUUGUGGCGAAGCUAACGCGUUAAAUGUGCCGCCUGGGGAGUACGGUCGCAAGAUUA